rnacentral:misc_RNA from 1 species
CCUGAAGAUACCUUCCGGCGCAGUGUCCACACAGAUUGUCUGAUAGAAGUAACGAGCAAAGUCACACCAGAGUCCCCAUCGUCUAGAGGCCCAGGACACUGCCCUUUCACGGCUGUAACAGGGGUUCGAAUCCCCUUGGGGACGCCAUACCGGUAACGAAGUGAAAGACGUUAUCACCCGUAUCUCAAAACUGAUUCCGCGAAAGCGAGUCACGUUUGAGAUAUUUGCUCUUUAACAAUCCGGAACAAGCUGAAAAUUGAAACGACAUGUUGUGUUCAUUCUCCGUAAUCAGAAUGAAGCCACGAUAUGUUCGAGUCUCUCAAUGCCUGCAACCGACACACGUCUUUCGGGACGCUUGUGGGUUGUGA